UUCGGCAGCCCCUACACUGUACUGAAAUUGGAACGAUGCAUUGGAGGUUAGCGUGGCCCCUGUGCAAGGAUGACGCGCACAUUCGUGAAGAGUUCCAUAUUUAA